AACGAACGCUGGCGGCACGCCUAACACAUGCAAGUCGCACGAGAGGCUCUUCGGAGUAGUAAAGUGGCGCACGGGUGAGUAAUACAUGGGUAAUCUGCCUUUGAGAGGGGAAUAACCAGCCGAAAGGCUUGCUAAUACCCCAUACGCUUCCGGUCCCUCGGGUAAGGAAGGAAAGCUGCAUCGAGGAUGUGGCGCUCGAAGAUGGGCUCAUGGCCUAUCAGCUUGUUGGUGGGGUAAUGGCCUACCAAGGCUACGACGGGUAGCUGGUCUGAGAGGACGAUCAGCCACACUGGCACUGAGAUACGGGCCAG
rnacentral:rRNA from 1 species